UCGAACCUGCAACCUCAUGGUUCCUAGUCAGAUUUGUUUCCACUGCACCACGGCAGGAACUCCUGGGACUUGAUUCUAAUGUAGUUAUGAUGGUGUCAUUGAAACCCAUGUCACCCUGGAGAAAAAAAUGGCUUCCAGAAGAGGCCUUUGAAGAGGCAGCAAAAAUGAAUGGUGAAGAGUAUACACCGUGGAGCUUCAUUGCCUGGAUUCAAAUCUCAACUUUCACCACUUACGUGACCUUUUAAUGAGGUUACUUAGCAUCUUUGCAUCUCAGUGCCAUCGUCUGUAAAAUGGGGACCAGAGGAAGAAGAAAAAAAGAAGAGGAGGAGAAGGAGGAGGAAGGGCUCUACCCCUUGGAUUGUGGCGAAGUGUCGGUGACUUAGGGUCUAUGAAGUCAACCCACAUGUCCUAAAGUGCAUCCUUUCUGUGAGACUCUUGACAAAAAUACCUAACUCUCUCUAAUUGUAAGGACACAUCAGACGAACCCGAAUUAAAGGACAGGCUAAACAAUAACUGGGCUGUACUCCUCAAGCAGGUCAGCAUCAUGCAAGAUAAAUGAAGGUUCAGAAAUGGUCCAGAUCAAGGAGACGUGACAACUAAAUGCAGCGUGUGAUGCUUGGAUGGCUUUAACCAACUGGGCCACAUCUGACUCGGGGCUGGAAAUCAGGUGCUUUUUCCUUCCUUGGCCUGGAAUCGUUGCAGGAGAGGGGACCCCUUCCAUGGUCUGAGAAUGCGCCUUUAACACUUGGAAAUGAACCGUCCGAGGAGACACAUGCGCUGACAAAGCAAGAGACUUUCUUGGGAAGGGGCACCGGGCCAGAGAGCAGCAGGUGAGGGAACCCAGGAGAAUAGCUCUGCAGCUCCUUCAGGUCAAAGUCACCAGGACCUGCUCAGUAUGCCCAUGGGAUCUGUGUACCUCUGGUGCUCUGGAGAGCGUCUCUGCUGUUUCCACCUGCCCAGCAUAGUCCCUCCCUUUUUCUGCCACCAUUCUUGCUCUCUCACUGCAGAAACUGAUUUAGGAAUGACCUUGAGACUUGUCAACUAAAAAAAUAAAA